GCGUCAGUGGUGCAACGGUUAACAUGCGCUCCAGGAAAGAGUGGGGUCCGGGUUUGAAUCCCGUCCGGCGCA